GACGAACGCUGGCGGCGUGCCUAAUACAUGCAAGUAGAACGCAGUUGCGAACGGGUGAGUAACGCGUAGGUAACUGCCUGGUAGCGGGGGAUAACUAUUGGAAACGAUAGCUAAUACCGCAUACUACCAGAUGGACCUGCGUUGUAUUAGCUAGUUGGUGAGGUAACGGCCCACCAAGGCAACGAUACAUAGCCGACUUGGGAGGGUGAUCGGGCACCCUGGGACCGAGUACCGGCCCAGACUCCCUAGGGAGGCGGCAGGAGGGAAGCGUCGGCAAUGGGGGGAACCCUGACCGAGCAACGCCGCGUGAGUGAAGAAGGUUUUCGGAUCGUAAAGCUCUGUUGUUAAGGAAGCGGUACUUAACCAGAAAGGGACGGCUAACUACGUGCCAGCAGCCGCGGUAAUUC
rnacentral:rRNA from 1 species